UACAGAGGUCUCAAGCGUUGUUCGGAUUCAUUGGGCGUAAAGGGUGUGUAGGCGGCUUCGUAAGUUCGGUGUGAAAUCUCCUGGCUUAACUGGGAGGGUGCGCCGAAAACUGCGGAGCUGGAGCGCAGGAGAGGAAAGCAGAAUUCCUGGUGUAGCGGUGAAAUGCGUAGAUAUCAAGAGGAACACCUGAGGUGAAGACGGGUUGCUGGGCUGACACUGACGCUGAGUGCGCGAAAGCUAGGGUAGCAAACGGG
rnacentral:rRNA from 1 species